rnacentral:rRNA from 1 species
CCCUUAGAUGUUCUGGGCCGCACGCGCGCUACACUGAUAAUGUCAACAAGCCUUACCUUGGCCGAUAGGUCUGGGCAAUCUUCGAACUAUUAUCGUGAUGGGGCUAGAUUAUUGCAACUAUUAAUCUUAAACGAGGAAUUCCUAGUAAGCGCGAGUCAUCAGCUCGCGUUGAUUACGUCCCUGCCCUUUGUACACACCGCCCGUCGCUCCUACCGAUUGGAUUGGCUGGUGAAGCGUUCGGAUUGUGGGUUCGGAGCGGUUCGCCGUUCUGGGCUUGCGAGAAGUUCGUUAAACCCUCCUAUCUAGAGGAAGGAGAAGUCGUAACA